AGGGAUGUAGUUAAAAAUAACAUUUGAUUUGCAUUCAAAAAGUAUUGAUAUAUCAAUCUUCCUUG
rnacentral:tRNA from 1 species